UACGGGGGGGGCAAGCGUUGUUCGGAAUUACUGGGCGUAAAGGGCUCGUAGGCGGCCAACUAAGUCAGACGUGAAAUCCCUCGGCUUAACCGGGGAACUGCAUCUGAUACUGGAUGGCUCGAGUUUGGGAGAGGGAUGCGGAAUUCCAGGUGUAGCGGUGAAAUGCGUAGAUAUCUGGAGGAACACCGGUGGCGAAGGCGGGUCUCUGGGCCGUAACUGACGCUGAGGAGCGAAAGCGUGGGGAGCGAACAGG
rnacentral:rRNA from 1 species